rnacentral:rRNA from 1 species
AUCAGGAAGAAAGCUUGCUUUCUUUGCUGGCGACCGGCGCACGGGUGAGUAACACGUAUCCAACCUGCCCUUUACUCGGGGAUAGCCUUUCGAAAGAUCAGUUAAUACCCGAUAGCAUAAUGAUUCCGCAUGGUUUCAUUAUUAAAGGAUUCCGGUAAAGGAUGGGGAUGCGUUCCAUUAGGUUGUUGGUGAGGUAACGGCUCACCAAGCCUUCGAUGGAUAGGGGUUCUGAGAGGAAGGUCCCCCACAUUGGAACUGAGACACGGUCCAAACUCCUACGGGAGGCAGCAGUGAGGAAUAUUGGUCAAUGGGCGCUAGCCUGAACCAGCCAAGUAGCGUGAAGGAUGAAGGCUCUAUGGGUCGUAAACUUCUUUUAUAUAAGAAUAAAGUGCAGUAUGUAUACUGUUUUGUAUGUAUUAUAUGAAUAAGGAUCGGCUAACUCCGUGCCAGCAGCCGCGGUAAUACGGAGGAUCCGAGCGUUAUCCGGAUUUAUUGGGUUUAAAGCUAGCGUAGGUGGACUGGUAAGUCAGUUGUGAAAGUUUGCGGCUCAACCGUAAAAUUGCAGUUGAUACUGUCAGUCUUGAGUACAGUAGAGGUGGGCGGAAUUCGUGGUGUAGCGGUGAAAUGCUUAGAUAUCACGAAGAACUCCGAUUGCGAAGGCAGCUCACUGGACUGCAACUGACACUGAUGCUCGAAAGUGUGGGUAUCAAACAGGAUUAGAUACCCUGGUAGUCCACACAGUAAACGAUGAAUACUCGCUGUUUGCGAUAUACAGUAAGCGGCCAAGCGAAAGCAUUAAGUAUUCCACCUGGGGAGUACGCCGGCAACGGUGAAACUCAAAGGAAUUGACGGGGGCCCGCACAAGCGGAGGAACAUGUGGUUUAAUUCGAUGAUACGCGAGGAACCUUACCCGGGCUUAAAUUGCAGUGGAAUGGGCCGGAAACAUGUCAGUGAGCAAUCACCGCUGUGAAGGUGCUGCAUGGUUGUCGUCAGCUCGUGCCGUGAGGUGUCGGCUUAAGUGCCAUAACGAGCGCAACCCUUAUCUUUAGUUACUAACAGGUUAUGCUGAGGACUCUAGAGAGACUGCCGUCGUAAGAUGUGAGGAAGGUGGGGAUGACGUCAAAUCAGCACGGCCCUUACGUCCGGGGCUACACACGUGUUACAAUGGGGGGUACAGAAGGCAGCUAGCGGGUGACCGUAUGCUAAUCCCAAUACGCUCUCUCAGUUCGGAUCGAAGUCUGCAACCCGACUUCGUGAAGCUGGAUUCGCUAGUAAUCGCGCAUCAGCCACGGCGCGGUGAAUACGUUCCCGGGCCUUGUACACACCGCCCGUCAAGCCAUGGGAGCCGGGGGUACCUGAAGUACGUAACCGCAAGGAUCGUCCUAGGGUAAAACUGGUGACUGGGGCUAAGUCGU